AUUGUACUCCCUCCGUCCGAAAAUACUUGUCAUCAAAAUGGAUAAAAAGAGAUGUAUCUAGAACUAAAAUACGUCUAGUUGCAUCCCCUUUUAUACAUUUUGAUGACAAGUAUUUCCGGACGGAGGGAGUAUGUU
rnacentral:pre_miRNA from 1 species